CUUCCGUAUUAAAGAGCGUUCCCAUGGAAACGGAUUAUGUUGUUGAGUUGUGGGUCAGCUCGUCUGGUCGUGAUAUACAAUGAUAAUAACGAAGACAAUAAUAACCUGCGGUCGUUUUAAGCUCUCUGUGUGUAAUCGCGCAGAAUCUUGGGAUCUCGGACGCCGGUGAUCCAAUAAAGAAGGUCAUGACUUUGAUUUAAAUUAUUCAUAAUUUAACGUUAGCAACAGACAGAGAUAAUGGGGUACUGAUAAAUACGAACAGAUAUCACAAAUGCAUGCAUAUCCCAAAACCAGAAUAACAGAAAAUGUGAAUAUAAUAUCAGGAGUAACAUUUUCAAAAAGAUACAUUUACAUACCCCCCUUUAAAUCCACCAAAAGAGCACCUUAAAAAACAAUAUUAUCUGAUUGGACUAAUAAUCAAUGGCAGCGGCCAGCAGAGAGAGCUACCAGUUAAUACCUUCGACAAGACAAAGGGAAAAUAAUCAAAACGCUCUCCCAGGUGUGAGGACAACAACGAAACCCCGGGACAGAGAUGGACGAAGAAACAAGAGGGCGUGAGGGCCGCAGGUGGAAAACAAACCACCACGAGAACGAUCAGAAAGCCCCUUUUCUAGACACGAGAUCACCUCAUAUGGGUCAGGACAGGUAAAACAGACAUUUAUGGCCCUCUUAUCUGCUGUCUCCACCCUCCCCUUCACACAGAUUUAUGGCUUCGGGGCGGGCAGGUAGCCAAUAAUAAUCACCUCUGGAACAUAGCGGGGAGUGCUCACUUUCAAAUAUGUGCACGCGAAUGCAGGCGGCUUGUGGCCCCGUAGGAACGUCUGUCUGCCUUUGAACACGGCUCCUGAGAUCCCCGAAUCGAAUCGUAGCACAUACAUACAGCGUGCGUGGACCACAUGCCCCCCACGCGACAGAGUGCACGGCCAGUCAGCUUCAGCCCUCCGCCGGUGACUCAGGGGUGGUUGUGAGUGUACCACUCAGAAAACAGCAAAGGUUUGCUGGGUUGUAGAAAUGACCCCCACUUAUUGAUCCACAUCUCAUUGUGACUCAUGGCGACAGCAGGGAACUGCAGCAGUCAAACCCCACCCUGUUCUUUUCCAGGCUCGACCCCGUGUAAACAUGGAAGCAGAGGCCGAGGCCGAGGGUGAGGCUUGAGGGUGAGGAUUGAGGGUGAGGAUCGGUGGGCUGUGAUGUAGCGGCACGCCGUCACAACAGCAUCCAUCGCUGUCAGCGGCAGAACGCGUGUGCUCUCACUGCAAAAUCAGGUUUGGUUUUGUUUCUUCGAUAAGUCCCUAUGUCAGUCUCGGCCUCGCUCUCGCUCCACGUCUCGCUUUCUGUUUCGAUGGCUCACCCGUGCUCUCUCUCUCUCUCUCUCUCUCUCGCACACAAACAGGCAGCACAUGGCCAGCGUGAGUGAGUCACAUUGGUCUGGUAACGAGAGCCUCCGCUCAGGGAGAGUCCCUCCAUGCGUCCUUGGGACUGGGGCCAACCCCCUUUGAGGGUAUCAGGUGCACCGUUCCUCUGGGCAAUGGGAGACUCGUCGGCCCCCGACCACCGAAAGUAGCCGUUUCGCUGCCGUCGCUGUUGUUUUGGCUCAUUUUCAUACACGACACUAGUUCUUCUAAAAACAGAAUUACUGUCUAUGAGACGUUGGGACUCAAGGGGACGCGGCAACUUGGAUGUCUCGCUGACAUGGGCUCGGGGACAGUGCGCAGAGAGGGUCGACCUGCCCGGAAGCAGCCAGAUGUGUGCCCCCCCCCUCCCACCCCGCUACACGCAGUACACAAUGUGACUACAGUAUGAUGAGACAGGCUGCCUGUAAGGACUUGAACUGUGCCUACUUUUCAAAACAAUCUAAAAAACGUCCAAGUGGAUUCCUGCACAGAUAAUUGCACAACCCAUUUGAUGCCUAUAAACACAGUAUAUUAGCUAUUUUCUAGUUAGUGUGAGGCUGCACAGCAAUGUUUUAAGCUAAAGGCUAACAUCAGCCUGCUAACGUCCUCGAAAUGACAAUAAAAACACGUGCAACCUG